ACAAAGAAAAAAAAUUUGUUGAAUAUGAUCCGGAAUAUCCAGUGAAGUAUGCGAUCUUCAUUACAGAAGAAGAAUGGGUUGCUUUUGUAGACCAAAGAAGAGACGAAAAUUUCAAGAAAGUGAGUGCCACAAAUCGCGAGAGAGCGUCAAAUCCCACGUAUGCAUACAAAAAAGGGCGUUUGGGAUAUGCACGCUUAGAGGAAAAAAUUUUAGACGAGACGAAAAGUGACGCAACAUCACUUCCGCCACAUGUUUUGUGGAAAGAAGCUCGUGUGGGAAAGGAUGGAACUGUUAGGGAUGACGUUCAACAUAUUUAUGAUGAAUGUGAGACCCUAUCUCAAUCGAUAAGCACAGCUGAGGACCAGGAGAACAGGAGCGUACUUAGUAGAGC